CGAGGGAGGAGUCCGAUGGCGUCGCCGUCUUGAGGGGGUUGGUUGCCGAGGGGCGGCUCCCCCCGGUGGCUCGCCUUAUUUCCGAGGAUGCCUUAGUGAACGUCGGUCUGAGCUCGGUCCCCGCCGACCGUGAGCCCGCCACCACUUCUUCUUUUUAGCUCUUUUCUCCUCUUUCAUUUCUUCUUUCCAUCAGUUUCUCGGUUUCUAACCAUCUCGUCCUUUUUGCAGAAAUCGA
rnacentral:lncRNA from 1 species